CGACGCGCACACCAGGAGAGGAGAAGCGCGCGUGCUACAGUCGAAGUCUCGCCGUCGCCCGUCGCUGCCUUCGCCAUUUUCUUCCGUUGCCCGGUCAUCGAAGUUUCCGAAUCGCUCAGCUGUGUCGGCUGUGCGUGCCCGUGUCCUGUGUGUGCGCGACUGUGAUCUCAACGCUGGACGUGAACGGCAUUUAGCGACGGCAGUGCAACAUCCUGUGCUGUGAGCGUGUUCGCGUUGGUUUCAUGAUGGUCUGGAGACUCAAGCGAGCUUGCACCUUCGUGUAUGCGUGUUCGGCCAGCACCUGGUUAGGCACAGUCGGAAAUGCGAACGAUGGUGCUCAAGAUGGCACAUGCAACGCUAUGCAGCUGUGGACACCAGCAGCUUGAUAAGAACUCUCGAAGCUCAUCUGGAUGCUUCACAGAACCUGGGAAGACUGAACACUUUUGGCAAAACAGCAACAGUUCUGGCCCAUCUGUUUGUCUACAAGACGGUCUCUUCCGUGAACACUCCUGUGCCUUACAGUAUACUAUAGUGAUGAUCUUGUACAUCUCUCUGUAUUUAGGAUUGUCAGCACAUGG